rnacentral:rRNA from 1 species
GAUGAACGCUGGCGGCGUGCCUAAUACAUGCAAGUCGAGCGAACAGACGAGGAGCUUGCUCCUCUCACGUUAGCGGCGGACGGGUGAGUAACACGUGUAUAACCUACCUAUCAGACUGGUAUAACUUCGGGAAACGGGAGCUAAUACCGUAUAAGAUAUUGAACCGCAUGGUUGAAUGGUGAAAGUCGGUGUUUCUGGCACUUAUAGAUGGAUCCGCGCCGCAUUAGCUAGUUGGUAAGGUAACGGCUUAUCAAGGCGACGAUGCGUAGGCGAGCUGAGAGACUGAUAGGCCACCCUGGAACUGGGACACGGUCCAGACUCCUACGGGAGGCAGCAGUAGGGAAUGGUCGGCAAUGGGCGAAAACUUGACGGAGCAACGCCGCGUGAGUGAUGAAGGUCUUCGGAGCGUAAAGCUCGGUUAUGAGGGAAGAACAAAUGUGUAAGUAACUAUGCACGUCUUGACGGUACCUAAUAAGAAAGCCACGGCUAACUACGUG